rnacentral:rRNA from 1 species
UACCAGGGUGGUAACGGGUAACGGGGUGUUAGGGCACGACACCGGAGAGGGAGCCUGAGAAACGGCUACCACAUCCAAGGAUGGCAGCAGGCGCGCAAAUUACCCUCUCCCGACGCGGGGGGGUAGGGACAAUAAAUAACAAUACGGGGUUCUUUAGGAUCUCGUAAUCGGAAUGAGUACAAUUUAAAUCUCUUAACGAGGAACAAUUGGAGGGCAAGUCUGGUGCCAGCAGCCGCGGUAAGUCCAGCUCCAAUAGCGUAUAUUAAAGUUGUUGCAGUUAAAAAGCUCGUAGUUGAAUUUCGGGGUCAGUAGGUCGGUCGUGCCACUGGUAUGAACUGGUUUUACUGAUUCCUCCCUCUUGAAGAACUGUAAUGCCAUUAAUUUGGUGUUGCAGGGAAUCAGGACUGUUACUUUGAAAAAAUUAGAGUGUUUAAAGCAGGCUUUAGCUUGAAUACAUUAGCAUGGAAUAAUGAAAUAGGACGUUUGAUCCUAUUUUGUUGGUUUCUAGGAUUGACGUAAUGAUUAAUAGGGAUAGUUGGGGGCAUUAGUAUUCAAUUGUCAGAGGUGGAAUUCUUGGAUUUAUUGAAGACUAACUACUGCGAAGCAUCUUGCCAAGGAUGUUUUCAUUAAUCAAGAACGAAAGUUAGGGGAUCGAAGACGAUCAGAUACCGUCGUAGUCUUAACCAUAAACUAUGCCGACUAGGGAUCGGAUGAUGUUAAUUUUUUAAUGACUCAUUCGGCGCGCUACGGGAAACCAAAGUGUUU